AAUCACAGGUAGAACUACAAGUAUGGGCUCACUAAAGCUUUAUAAAAUAUUUAUGUUUUAUUUAUAUGUUCAUUUGUUUACUUCCCCCAAUAUAUAAAUGAACUAACUACAAUAUAAGUUAUUAUCUCCCAUAAACUGCUAACAGUCUUAGCUUAUUAAUUCCAUACAUAAAUAAAACAAUCAAAGGCAGUGUAGUAUGAUGUCAAGUGCAGUGAACUCAAUCAGGAACUUAGUUUUCAGUGAAAUCUGCAUAUAAAUGGGAUCAGUAGAUAUAUAAUAGCUUACUUCUUAGGUUAAUGCUAUACAGUACACUCAAUCCAGUGUUUUCCUAAGUGCUUUUAACGUCAAGGCCAUGUAAGACAAAGCAGAAUUUUUUAUAAAUUACUUAGUUUACAUAGCAUGGUCCAAUCAACUUGUGAAACGUUUCACACUCAUGAAAUACAUAAAUGCUAUCAUAUUAAACAGGCCAUAGCAUGACGCUAACCACACUUUGUUUUGGUAAAACAAUUGACUACAACAGUUUACACAUAGGUCUCCAUGUCUUAUAACACGUAACACAGUUACCAUGGUAGCCACUAAACGGAGUUGAAAGGAGUGCCUGAUUACAGGCAGUUAUUUUUAGGCACUGGCACAAGUCCUAUCAAGAUGAUGAUUAAUUGAAAAAACAUUUCUGUUAAAUUUUGUAUAUUACACACACAUGUGCGCACACACACUCUCUCACACAGAGCAGCUAUGGAUAUCAUAGAAAUUGAAAAAUACACGAGGAGAGGGUACACAGAUGCCACAGGGCAGUAAAAGCCUGAUUAAACAGAAGCCACAAGAUAGAAGGAAGAUAGAUACAAACACAGAGGGAAGCGGAGACAGAAAAGCUUAGUGUCCAGAAUGGCAGGAUUCUAUAGAGACUGUUGGGCCAUUAGAGCUGCUGUAAGUGUCCAGAGUAAGAUUCCACUAUUCUCUGACCAGAUGACUUAAGUGCUGAGAUAAGAAGUGUCCCUAAGUAAUUGAUAAACCAACCCAUAUCAUCACAGAUCACCUUAAGAUGCAGCUGUUCCUUGAAAUCCAAGAGCAUUUAACUAUUAAACCAUGAGUUAUACAACUAAUGAGGAUAAUAGAAUCAGAAAAUAAGUCCCAGAAGUUCCCUAAUGGAGGUGAAGAAACACAUGAAUAUAUCCGAUUUCCUUUUAUUUGAAAUAGAUGCAUCUCUAUGCUAAAAUUCAACAAAAGCCCAUUUUCAAUACUGAUGUUUAAAUAUGAGACUGCACUUAUAGACUCAAAUUGGAAAUACAGGGGGCCCCAUACGGUGGAUUUGACCCUCAAUUAAACUUUAUUUGACAUAGGAACAAACAAGUACAGAAAAUAUGCUUCUAUUUGCAGAAUUGCAGUUUAAAAACGUGAAUUAUAUUCUAAAAGUUCACAAAAUCAUAAAUACAAAGGCAUGUUCCUCAAUUUUUGUUUUAUUCUGUUUUUUAAUAAAAAGCCUCAGUACACAGAUGAUGUUUCUGUGCUACUUUUGGUGCACAUGUUUUGAUUUCUGUCUGCACGCCUUUUGAGAUUCUGUCCCAUUCUAUAUUUAUAAUUCUCUUAUUCUCAUUAUUGCCAAAUUGAAUUUUAACUAUUUUUCUCAAUCUCCAGAUUAAUGUACUUUUAAAUUUUUUCUCUUCUUUCUUUUUUUAAUCUUUAUCUCUUCAAUGGCCUUUUUUUUUUUUAACAGAGAACACACAAAGAGGGAUGCUAAAUAGAAUGUUAUAUGUCAUUCUUAAAAGUUCACAUAGUAAAAAGUAGUAGCAUUGAUAUUUUAUUGUAUUGAAGGGGAAACUUAGAACUCACUUCCCCAUGUACAGAAUGAUCCACAUAUAUAUUCAACUUGAGGUCUUAAAGCAAAGGUAGCAGAAGACUUUAUAUAACAGUGAUUGCUUUGCUUUUGAAAUAUAAUAAGCAGCAAAGAGGAUGUAAUGAUGGUCUUUUUUACUUUUGGAACACCUUUAAUACUGUAGAAAUAAUUUUAUGUUUCCUUUUUCACCUCACAAAUAUUAUUAAUACAGGAUAUCACUGUCUUAAAAUUAGGAAAUGAGUGCUGUGAAGUCACUGAGAAAAUGAAUGAAUGAGCUAGGAAUAACAUAACACCUUGUAUUUCUUUCCUUCCUCUCUCCCUUCCUUCCUUUAUGCCUACUAAUACAAUUUUUUUUCUUAAUUUCCAGGAGUAGCAGUGAUUUUGCUACAAGAAAAUUGAAUCCAGAAUGAGAGAUGAUUGCUCUAAUUUAGUUCUUUAUUAUGCUUUAUCAAAAAGUAGCACUUUUCUUUGUGUAACAGAAAUUAACUGAUUACAAUGAUAACAAUACUUUGUAUGCAUUUAUUUGAAAAAUGUCUCUUGAUUGACUUCUAUGAAGUGUUGGUUUUAGUUCUGACUCAAAAUCAUACAUGAAAGAUGCUAUUGUCUAACCCACAUUCUAGUACAAUCAUCUUUGAGGCUAAUACUAAGAAAAAAAAGAAACUAAUUUUUAUGGAAUUCCUAAUACAUGCCAGACAUUUUCUCAAAGUGAUUUACUAAUUAAUCUACUCAUUCAUACUGUGAUAAAUGUACUCUUUUUCUCACUUUUCAAUUUCGUAAGUUAGAGAUUAAGUUGUUCUCACCAGUCUGGGGGAAUCUUCCAAGUUAGUGUCCGCAGGAGUAUGGACUACAGUACUGUGUCUUCCUACAAAACAUAGAAUGUAUAAAUGAAUUUUAAUUGGUAAGUGUUCCAUGCCUACUCUGCCAACUUUCAAUUGUAGAAAGGCAGUUUAGAACUGGGACUUUGACAAUUGCAUUAUUUGGGACACAGAGGAAGCAUGGAUUGGAAUGUUUUUCAUGUUUACCAAAACCAUCUGAAGAUUUAAAAGUUAUCUCAAAAAGAAAAGGUUUGUUUUUGUUUUUAGUACAUUAAAGCAAUUUAUCAAACCUCUAUUAUUUUUUCUACUUUCUAAUUUAUAAAUGUUCUUAAAUCACUGGCUAGAUAUGAGCUAAUAUGAACAUCUUUCCUUUACAUUAUUAAGUUUAGGCCAAUCUACUUGACAAUGGCCUUUACCAUUCACUCAAGUCAGAGCUCAUGAAUUGAUAAUAUUUGUAGCAUUUGCUAGCAAACAUAAAAAAAAUGACUGACUGGUCAUAAACUUUAUUGUAAAUCAAAGUCAAUAUUUUUAUGUCCUUGGAUAAAUAUGACACGCAAGUUUUUGUAAGAACUUUGUAUAGUUGACUCAAAUUCUUGUAAUUUUUUUUCUUUAACCAGAUUAAUUUGUAUAAGUAAGCACUAUGCUUCCAAAGUUUUUUUUUUUAAUUUUUUGAUGCCAGUUAUUUUACACAACUAUUUAUAGAACAAUUUGGAAUAAUCAAAUCAAAACCAGAGAGGACGCUUCAGAUGUAUUUCAUUUCCCUCUGAUUCCCAAUUGAAACAUGAUGUUUUAAGGAAGCAGCCAAGAGAGGCACAUGUUCUUUUGAGUUGCUGACUUGAAAACUGAUCUUAAGAAUAGACUAAGAAUUUAGUAAACUGGUAAAGAAAGAAGGACAUGUGUGAGAGAUGAGAUUCUCAUUUUCUUGUCUUCUUAUAUGGCUGUUUUUUAGUAUCUCUUAGACGUGAACGAUCUUGAUGAAUGAUUCAUCAGUAUCAUCUGAAUCUAUAGUCAGGUGUACACAUUCAUUUAAUCUGUCAGUUUGAAAUAUUCAGAGAACGAAGUAUUUAAAAGAAGCAGUGUACCAUUGUUAAAGGUUGAUUCUUUUAACAACAUGUAAAUUGUUAUUAAGCACCUUUUUUUCUGGUACUGUCAAAGAGACACAGGGGAGGUGAUUGUGUCUGGAAAGUCCAAGGUCAUAGUGCUCAAGGAUUCAGUGUCUAGUGAAGAGCCUCUUCGGACCUGGAGACUUCUGACAUCUCUCCAUGCCCUCUCUGUGGAAGGGUGGUUGAUGAAGCCAGUCACUGAGAUAAGGAACACUAGAAGCUAAGGGAUGAAUGGAAAGUGGCUAGUCUGAAUGCUGGAUAUUUUCCACUGCACCUCAGAUCAACAUAUUUCCUUUCUGUUCUUCCUGGGCAAGAUGCUUUCCAUGGAUUUUACAGACUGGAUUUCCCUGCCCUAUGGCUCCUGGUUGAGUAAUGCCAGCAGGAGAUCUAAGUGCAAGAAGAGUGGGAGCCAACCUGGGAGUUGUGGCCUGUCACAGCUUUGGUGACUCUGGGUGUUUAACCCACUGAGCCGCUGCAGAAACACCAUAGAUCCUGUUGUGCCACGGCAGGAACUCCUUGACUAAACUUUUAAAAUCAAAGAUAUAUGUCUUUCUUCACUUAGCCACUCUCUUCCCAAAAGAUCAAUGGAAUUCUUUACUAGACAAGGGGAAAUGAUUUUUGAAACCAACUUUCUGCUUCGUUAUUUCCCCUUCAAGUCCUUUUAUGCUUGGAAUUAAGAAAAGUAAAAGUUCUCAUUAGAAAUCUUAGUUCAAAUAAGACAUGGGCUUGAAAUUUUUGAAGAUUUUCAGGGAAGUAAAAAGUUCUCAAGGCACAAGAGCCAACUCUGUUCUUUUGAAAAUUAAGCAUAAUUACUUCACUUGGAGGAUUAUUUCACAAUUCAGUAGAUUCACUUCCAGGAAAAUUGUCUUGGUGUUAAGCCUAGUUUGGUUUUCUUUUUCUUCUUUAUACUAGACUUACUUACAGUAGCUCUCUUUUAUUUUGUGAGGCACCCUACAGGGAAUGAGAAUACUUUGCAAAUUAAACACUAUUUGAAUAAAGUCUGCAUGGAAAUAAAGGCCUUUAUACA
rnacentral:lncRNA from 1 species